rnacentral:lncRNA from 1 species
CCACGUGGCUGGGUGUUUUGUGGUCCUGACAGGAGAGGAAAACAACAGGUUUGCCUAAGUGGCCCAGUAUGUGUAUCACUGUGGCCCACACCUGCCCCCUUAGCUCAUGAUGAGUGUUGUCCUGUGGAUGCUGGGACGUGGGUAGGGACACAGGCCAGGCUGUUUCUAUCACAGAAAGUUACAGUUCUGGCUUCACAACCUUUCCAAUAUUCCUUCAACAGCAACCAGGUCAAGGCACAGCCACUCCCAUGUACAAAACAUCAAUCUGAAAUUCAGGCAGUCUUGGGAAACAAGGGAAAAAAUACCCUUGUCAUGGCCUUCUCAUCCCAGAGGGGAAAGAAAGGAAAAGAAGUUCAAGGAGUUACAAGAGUGGCCACUGUCCACCAUCAUCUGGGUACCUGCCCUCCACUUGCCCCUCCCUCAGGAGCUUCGCCAGAAUACCUCCUGGAGUUGUUGACAUUGGGCCCUACUGGAACCUUCCUGAAUGAUCAGGCGGCAGGACCUUUUAUCACCGGUGUGCUCUUGCAAAUGGGGUCUUAUUCGUGCACUGAACUUAAUUUUUUUUAAGUGGUCAUAAAAUCUUGACGUCUNNNNNNNNNNNNNNNNNNNNNNNNNAUAGAACAAUUAUCUGCCCCCCAAAUCCAGUUGUAUAUUAUAUCAGGGGUUUCUCAACCGGUUUUUUUUUCAUUAUUAUUUCCUAAGAGGCUUUUAAGAAAUCUUUUCUUUAUUUUCCC